rnacentral:rRNA from 1 species
AUACGAAGGGUGCAAGCGUUACUCGGAAUUACUGGGCGUAAAGCGUGCGUAGGUGGUUGUUUAAGUCUGUCGUGAAAGCCCUGGGCUCAACCUGGGAAUGGCGAUGGAAACUGGGCGACUAGAGUGUGGCAGAGGGUAGUGGAAUUCCUGGUGUAGCAGUGAAAUGCGAAGAGAUCAGGAGGAACAUCCGUGGCGAAGGCGACUGCCUGGGCCAACACUGACACUGAGGCACGAAAGCGUGGGGAGCAAACAGGAUUAGAUACCCUGGUAGUCCACGCCCUAAACGAUGCGAACUGGAUGUUGGGUGCAAUUUGGCACGCAGUAUCGAAGCUAACGCGUUAAGUUCGCCGCCUGGGGAGUACGGUCGCAAGACUGAAACUCAAAUGAAUUGACGGGG